ensembl:rRNA 5S_rRNA 5S ribosomal RNA
GUCUACAGACAUACCACCCUUAACACACCGCUCUUGUCUGAUCUUGGAAACUAAGCAGGGUCGGGCCUGCUUAGUAUUUGGUUGGGAGAUGUAGACC